CUAUUUCUACUCUCUCCUUCUGUCUCUAUCCCUCGCUCUUUUUCCCUCUCUCCUUCUCUCUCUCUCUGUCUAUCUCUCCCUCUUUCUCAGAAUGGACACAGGAUGUGAAGAGAGCAGGUGGCUGACAGUCUCACAGCAACAGUAGGUAACUUUUUCUAGUUUAAUUUUCUGUGUUUAUAAUAUAUAACAGGAGUUUGUUAGUGUGUUUUCGUUUCAAGGACUUGGAGUCAUAUUGGAACAUAUUACUGCAAGUCAGAACAGAUUCAGAGGAGAUUCAGAUCUUGAUCUUAAUAAGUUGAUUGUGUGAUUAUUCAAUCGUGUGAUUACUCAAAUGCUGCCGCUUAUUCUCAGAACUCAUUGUUCACAUACUGCCAGAGCUUGGCUUUAGGCUACACUUUGGCUAGGUUAGUGAUGAUAUGGUGCAGCUCUGUGCUUAGUCAUUAGUAAGGAACUAUGAUGUAGUCUGUCUAUUUGCUGAUAAUGACAGAGGUAUUAUAUCUUCAUUAUAUCUCCUCCUCCUCUGAUUGCUGUGGAAUUACGAGAGGCUAGAGAGGGAGUUAACCUACCUACUGUAUGGUUGUGAAUGGGUCAACUCAGUUAGGAGCCCAUAUCAAUUAGAAAGGGACUCCAAGGGACAUUGGAAUGGGCAUGACAUUCCAUGGCGAUUUAUUGCGCAACAUUCUGGUUUCUGAGACCAAACUCACAGAGGCACACCCACACACACACCUACACCUGAGGUAACUAUAGCUGUUGACUCAGCUUGUUUUGUGUUUUUGCGAGGCUCCUCCCCACGCCUCCGUAUGUUCUUGGAAUCAGCAUGUGAAUGGCUGGGAGGGGUGGGUGUGGCACGCACCACUGUACCUUGACCUAACACCCGCUGCAACGCCCACACACUCGUAAACCUUUAUCUUCACAAGCAACACUGUUACAUACAAGGUAAGGGCAUGUCAAAUUUUGUGAUUUCUAUUGGACUAAUUCAGGUAGGGGCUACUUCCUUCUCCCUGCCCUUCAGAUGAUAGAGGAACACACCUGGAUUGUCCUACUGUGUGUGUGUGUCUGUCUGCUGUAAUACAAAGGCCUCAUUCUGUCAGUAUGGCUGAUUCACUGUACGGGGGAGGCCAGGGGAGCUUAAAGCCUGCUCGUCUCUCAGGUGACACACACACAUAUAUAUACAUAUACAUAUACACAUACACACACACUCUUAUCUCUGCUGGUCAGACUUAGCAUUGUGUUUGUGGGGUGUAAUCAUGGCCAUAGAGCAUGUCACUCUAAUUGAAAAUGCAGCUCCUGUUCUCAUGGCUCUGGAUGUAUGGGGGCUGAGGGGGCUGGAGUUGUCUUUGUGGCCCUCUGGAGUGGCCCACAUUAAGUCAGGUCAGCUUGGGUCUCCACUUCAGGGUUGGUAGACAAGUCAGGGUCAAUGGCAUGGUUGUUUACGUAUGUGUAAUGUGUACAUGAGUUGAUUUAAGAGAUGUUUGUGUGGGUGUGUUUUGUGUUUGCAUUGGUGGUGUGUAUGUGUGUGUGUGUUUUGUGUGUGUGUGUUUCCCACAAUGCCAUGUGUGUACAAAGAUAUGAGACGUGGUCACACGAGUGGAACCCUCCACUGUUCCUACAUCACCACGGAAACAGGCCUCUCAUUUUGUUAACACAGACAGACUAAAUUGGGGCUACAUUGGAAUUGCCCCACUUGACCAACAAUCGCCCACAGUACUUUGAGGGAUUAUGCUCUUUAAGGAAUAGCUAACACUUGGGAACUGAAAGGUGGGAUUGACAAUAAUCUGUGGAUAAUAUGUGGAUGUUUAAACUUCCUCUUCGCUGUUUGGUUGUCAACAGCCCUGUGGUGUGCCCAAGCCUGUGGCUAUUCCCAUUUCUCCUGGUAUUCCCAGUCGUCCUGGCUUGGCUGGGCUCCUCUCCAGCUUCCUAUAGUUGAGUUUUUGGCAUCACGCUGUGCCCAGGAACACACACUGCAGCCCUGCCUGUGGGCAUGAAGUGUGUGUGUGGGAGAGAGAGAGGGAGAGAGAGGGAGUGUCAGAGGGGGUGGAGUAAAGGUACUGUCUCUCUCAAACACACACACACACACACACACACACACACUACUUAGCAGUGCCAUACAUUCUCACAUGGUUGUGGGUUUCCUUUUCUCUACUAGUUUUUGUUGGUCGCUGAGAAAGACACCCUCUGUGUUUGGUAGAGCAGAAGUCAGAGGAGAGAAAGGAGAGGACAGGAGAGGGGCCAGACUCACCCAGGUGGACAGAGGUAGGAGUGGACGGAGGGGUCACCCAUGGAGGAAGGUCAUUUUGAUAUUCCCCACCACUGACCCUCUUGUCUUGUGUAGCCAUACAUCGUAUUCUUGCAAGCGCAAAAUCAAAGCUACUGACACAUUGAUGACUCGGCUGGUAUCCUUGUGCUUUCUCAGGAAAUGGGAGGCUGUGGAGGAUAUGACAAGCAGCCAUCAAGUCAGCAGACUAACUGGAGAGCUCUACUUUACGCCACAGGGGACAGACCCUUGGUUGGCAGAGCGGUUGCUGAGCUUUGAGAACAACAGUCAGGUGGGUAGAUGAGUAACAUUGUGUACCUGUUUGUUGGAUGAGUUCCAGAAUAGAAGACUAGUAGACUGGUUAGAUAACAAAUAGUUGUUACGUAUUUGUUACAGGUGUUGAUAGAUAAUGAUUGUUGUCAUGAAUUGUGCAUACAAAAUUGUAUCAUUGUCCUAUACUGUCUAAUAUUGUAAUGUGUUAUGUUUUCUUUAUGUUGAUGUGAAGAGAAUAGUAUCUAAAGAUUUGGUAUUGUUUGUAUGAGGUUACUGCAGUUCUUCACAGCGCUUCUGUUAAGAGGGGUAGUGUCUGAAGUGUGGAGGAGGAUGUCACCCGUCAGCUGUCCUCAUAGCUGGGCUACCAUGGCAACGACAUUCAUCAGAAUGACUUCUGGCAAAAGCAAAGCACUGUCACGAUCACUUUCUGUACUGACAGAUGUAUUUAUACUGAUACUUAUUGUGUUGGUGUUUUGGUUAAGGUUAAUCAUAAAAAUGCUGAGCCACAUGAGUGGACUGUCUUUGUAAAUCUACUUGUCAUCCAUGUCACAACUGCUACACAGAGUUUCUACUUGUCAUUACGGCCAAAGAGAAAUAAGCAAAGUAUCCUCCAAAAUCAUUUGCUACUGCUGUGCGUCCACUGCAUCCCUAUUGUCCGGCAGGGAAAGUCUUCCCCCAGAGGCUGGUUUCACAUGGUGGUUUAGAUUAAUGUUCUCAGUGUCUAGCACCAUUUGAAAUCAGUGUUCUUGGGGACAGGAGAACAGCACUGGGCCUCUGGUAGUGUCAGUCAGUCUAUUGGAGCCAUCCUCUCUCUCUCUCUCUCCCCUUUAAAGGAUGACUGAUUUCCUCUGGUGUUUAGAGCCCCUUACAGCCUUCUAGCACCAUUUGAAAUCGGUUAUAAUGACUGGGGAUCAAUGCCUCAAUGUCUUCACGAUGUCUACAUGUCAACUCUACAGUCAAGCAGACAGGAAAUGAAUUGGAUGAAUGUUCAUAUUAUACAUGUCACAGGGUCUGCUCUACAGAUCCUGGAAUCGCAAUGAGUUGGACAGGAGCUCAAUUCCAGUGGGACAGUUUUAAAGUGUUUAUUGAAUAAAUGUUCAACUAAACUGAAUUGA